UACGGGGGGGGCAAGCGUUGUUCGGAAUUACUGGGCGUAAAGGGCUCGUAGGCGGCCAACUAAGUCAGACGUGAAAUCCCUCGGCUUAACCGGGGAACUGCGUCUGAUACUGGAUGGCUUGAAUUCGGGAGAGGGAUGCAGAAUUCCAGGUGUAGCGGUGAAAUGCGUAGAUAUCUGGAGGAACACCGGUGGCGAAGGCGGCUUUCUGGACAAAUACCGACGCUGAGGCACGAAAGCUAGGGGAGCAAACAGG
rnacentral:rRNA from 1 species